rnacentral:lncRNA from 1 species
CAUGAAUUUGUACUCCCAAUCUUGCAAGGCAUCAAGCUCAAAUGCACCAAGGCCAGAAAUAUCCCCUGUGAGAUCUUUUUCCUCAAAGGACAGCUUGGCAAGAGCUCUACUAGCAUCCUUUCCAGCAAACAAUGCAUAAGGUCCCCCAGGUCCAUAGAACAUUCUGCAGGAACACACACAUUAAACACCAAGAUGACAAGUCCUCAGCAUUUCAUAAAGCUUAAUGGUUGAUUAUGAUAUGUUAGGUUUACAUUUGAGUAAGGAACUUAUUCAGACUCGUAUCAAGAUAUUUGAUCCAUCAGGUGAUAAAGUUGUGGAUGAAUUUAAUGUUACAUGACUUUACUGGAUGUAAAUAAAAUUAGAUAAACAACAAACUGAAUAUGUUUUCUGUCUCCUCAAAACCACAACAAAAUAAGAAUGAAUACAUUAGUUAAGAAGACUAGUUGAUUACUAUCCAAACGGUGAUGAACUGAUGAUAGCGAAGCUGUUUGAAUUAAACAUGGAGAACUCGAGCCACUUGUCUAAGAAUUACACACAGGUCACCUUUGCUAUCUUGAGGAAUUGAACCUAAGACAUUAUAAGCCCUUACGACCACUCUCGUCCUUCAACUAGAAUCGCCACCUAACCAACAGAGUUGCACACUUAAUGGACAUUCGAGAACAUCGGGGAAAAGAAUGUUAAUACUAGUGAUAUUACAAGUAUUAGCAUUAAGAGUAGUUAGUUACAAUUAGUUAGUUAUGAGAAAUUCCAGAAGUUAUUUAUACUACUAAGUUAGUUAGCUGUUCAGUUGGAUUAGUUGUAUAUAUAUAUCAGUGUACAACACAAUAGAAAGAUAAUACAAUCAUUCAAUAAUGAAAGCUUCCUCUCUUCACUUCUAAACAUCUCUGUAUUUCUGCUCUCUAUCUUCUCUUCUUUUGUAAAGAGUUCAUCAAGAGCUCAUUGCUUAGUUUCUAUUUUCGCUCAUUCUUCCAAAGAGAACUACAUGGUAUCAGAGCUUUCAAGCUGGACAUUAUUUGCUUGAUAGUGAAUAUUCCGCAAGAUCAGUAUUGAAGUGUAUCAGAUCUUUGAAACAAUUCAAGAAAUGGGGUCAAAUUCUGCAGAUUCUCAGCCUUCAAACCUUGGUAGAAAUGGUGUAUCCAUAGCUGGAAUUGAUCAUAAUCACCCUUUGUUCCUUCAUGCCUCUGAUGUAAGUGGAAUCCAAAUUAUCUCCUUCCAAUUAACUGGAGUAGAGAACUAGAAGUUUGGUAUAGAUCAAUGAAAAUUGCAUUAUUGGGGAGGAACAAGUUGGGGAUGGCUGAUGAGUCAUGUAAGAAAGAAAAUUUUCCAGGGUUAGAGGGUAAUUGGGAAAGGGUUAAUGCCAUUGUCUUGUCGUGGAUCAUGAACUCUAUAUCUAAGAAUCUUUUAGGAGGCAUCAUGUAUGCAUCUAAUGCUAAAGUGGUGUGGGAUGAUUUGUAUGAAAAAUUUAAUAGGAUGGAUGGAUCAAGAACCUUUAAUCUUCACGAAGAAAUUGCAACUCUCAGUCAGGGUACCAGUUAUGUGUCUAUGUUUUACUCUAGGCUCAAGGGGUUAUGGGAAGAGUUUGAAGCUCUAGUUCCUGCACCAGGGUGUGCGUAUGAAGGAUCUAAUGAGUAUGUCCUACAUCUUCAAAAGCUAAAGUUGUUUCAGUUCCUCAUGGGUUUAAAUGACUCAUACUUGCAAGCAAGAAGUCAGAUCCUUAUGAUGGAUCCAGUGCCAGCGUCAAUCAGGCGUAUUCUAUGAUUCUUAGUGAUGAAAACCAGAAGUCAGUUGUGUCAAAUGCAGGUGUGUUGGGUACUACUCCUGCAAAUUUACAAGGUGUGCAGGGGUCAUUUGAUACUGUAAUGUACUCAAGAAUGAAUGGGAAUCAACAAAGAUUCAAGAGAAAAUAUAAUCUAUUUUGUGACCUUUGUAAACUAAAAGGCCACACAAGAGAAAACUGUUUCAAGAUUAUUGGCUACCAGCAGGAUUCUAAGUUUAAAAAGAAAGGAGGGAACAACUCAGCCUAUAAUGUGGUUACUGAAGUUGGGGAUGAUGUGAGAUCAGGUGGGCAGUUUCAGGUGAAUCAGAACACUAAUUACACUGGAAUUGCAGGAACUGAGUCAUUGGUAUAUGAUAAAGGACAAUAUUCAGGAACUAAGCCUUCUCAACAAAGUGAACUGGAGUCAUGUACCUUAAUGAAAGAGCAAUAUAGUCAAAUCUUGCAGUUUCUCAAAAAGAAGUCAGAAGCUUCACAUUGUGCAAAUGUGGCAGGUAUGAACAUUGCACUUGUAGCUCAUACAGGAAAUCUAGAGUGGAUAGUAGAUACAGGUGCUACCAACCAUAUGGUAGUUGAUCUAAGUUUACUGGAUAGUCGGUCCAUAUUCAAAGUUGAAAAUCCAAAGAAAGUACACCUUCCUAAUGGUAAUGUAGCCUUGAUUACACAUUUAGGUUCAAGCCAAAUAAGUGAAAGAGACACAGUGUCUGGAGUUUUUUACAUCCCUCAGUUUAUAAGAGGUUGAUAGGAAAGCUACUCUAUCUUACCAUGACCAGACCAGACAUAUCAUUUCGGGUACAAAACUUAAGUCAAUUUCUCCAACAUCCAAAAAAGACACAUAUAGAAGCAGCUCUGAGAAUUUUUAGAUACAUAAAAGGUUAGCCUGGUCAAUGAGUCUUAUUAUCAAGCACACAAGAUAACAACAUUUCAGCCUACUGUGAUGCAGAUUGGGCAUCAUGCCCUCUCACAAGGAAAUCUGUAACUGGAUACUUUAUUAAAUUGGGUGAUUCUAAAGUCUCUUGGAAAUUAAAGAAACAGUCGACUAUUUCCAGAAGUUCAGCAGAAGCUGAAUACAUGAGCAUAGCCACUAUUGUGACUGAGGUUAUCUGGAUAAUAGGCCUCAUGAAGGACCUAGGAAUUGAAGUACAGAAGCCAGUGAAUGUCUUCACAGAUAGCAAAACAGAAAUCCUACUUGCAGCUAAUCCAAUUUAUCAUGAAAGGCCUAAGCACAUUGAGAUCGAUUGCCAUUUUAUAAAGGAGAAGAUUGUACAAGGACUAAUAUCAUAUAUUAUUAUAAGUGGGAAGAAUCUAAGUAAAAAGUUGAAUUACAAUUUUAUCCCUACAUUAAAUUAAAAUUUUAAAAAAUAUUUAAUAAAUUAAAUAAAUUUGACAUGAUAGUUAAUGCAUACAAUAUUUUUUUCAUCUUCCUCUCUAAUGAAUGUUUGACAAUUUAUUCUUUUAAGAAAACUUCUAUUAAAUGAUAAUUUAGCUGCAAUAACUUAUCCAACUCCCAUUUAAUUUUAAUUUAAGCAGAGCAUAAUACAGGGUAAGUGUGGGGGAUUAUUCAUCUUCUAAUAGUCAGUUUACUUUUCAGUUUAAAUGGUUUUUGGCUUUUGAUCUUCCUCUGGUAAUACUAAUAAUUAUGUAUAAUUUCUUAUAUCUUUUAUUGCGGUACAUAAAUGAAUAAUUUAUACUUUACCUCUUCUUUAUGUUAGAGUUUUUCCUCUAUAAAAACUAUUGACCCUUCUCAUUUGAACUUGCUAUAAUCCAUACCUAAAUUUGCAUUGCAUAGCACCAUUUGGACGGGUACGUAAUCUAUUUUUUUUUUCAUGUUAAAUCAGUUUUGCGUUCAAUUUAUGUUUAACAUUUACUAUUUAGGUUGUGUAUUUAUGUGUAUAUUAUUUCUAUGAAAAAAAUAUAUUGUACUUAAUUAGUUUCUUAUGAAGUCUUUACCAACAGGAAAUGUUAUUGUUUUUCAAUUGUUUCUUGGCAUCCAUAUAUGAUAAGAUGAUGUAGAGAUAUAACCCAUGUUAAAUAGGUGUAGUAAGAUUUAUUUAUUUUCCCCCUUCUUCACUUUUGAUGACCAAUCUCUCAAAAUUUUAUGAUUUUGGUUGGUUAACGAUCAUACUAUUUUUUUCUCGGUUGGAAAAAAAUAUGUGCUCUAGACAAUUAUCAAGACAUGUGAGUGUGACUAUAAACUAAGAAAUCUAUUUGACAGGUACGAAAGCAUGAUAGCCUUGUGCUUAGCACCAAACUUUUGUUUGAUAUAUCCCCUGUAUUCUCCAAUUUAAACUUUCAAUUUGAUCUCNNNNNNNNNNNNNNNNNNNNNNNNNNNNNNNNNNNNNNNNNNNNNNNNNNNNNNNNNNNNNNNNNNNNNNNNNNNNNNNNNNNNNNNNNNNNNNNNNNNNAUGACAUUAUAGCUAUAAAUAUACAGUUGAAUAAUAAAAAUAAUAAUAAUAUGGGAUACACGUGCAAAGCACGUGUCCAGAUACUAGUGUACAAAAUAUAUACCAACACAAGAGCAGCCGGCUGACAUGCUAACCAAAGGAUUGACUAAAGUUCAACACCAGUUCCUUAGUUCCAAGCUUGGAGUUCAAAACAUUUUUUCACUUCCAAGCUUGAGGGGGUGUGUUAAUACUAGUGAUAUUACAAGUAUUAGCAUAUAAGAGUAGUUAGUUACAAGGAAAAAUUACUUGGAUUGGUACCUUUUAAUAAAUAAUUACUGAUUUUAGCGAUAUUUUUUAUUUAUUACCAUUUAUAGCAAUACAUAACAAUACUAUAUUAAAUCUUCAAUAUGUAUUAAAAGUGAAUUAUGUAUGCAAUAUAUAUGUAUUAUAACUGUUUUUUAAAAUAUAAUGCCUGUUUGGUAAGAAAUUGACACAUUAUAUAAUAAGUGUAUUAAAAUGUGUGAUAAAUGUAUUAUCCAUCAAUAAAAAUUGUAUUAUAUGUGAAUAAUAAAUUGUUAUUUGUAAUAUGUAUUAAAACUGUAUUAUAAAUGUAUUAGAAGUGAUCAAGUGAAAAAACAAUAUUAUUGCUAUAAAUGGUAAAUAUUUUUUUAUUGUAGUAUAUUUAUGUAAGUUCCCAGUCAGUUAUGAGAAAUUCCAGAAGUUAGUUAUACUACCUAAGUUAGUCGCAUAAUUUCUAAAAGUUGGCUUGUAAAUGUGAAAAUAAGCCUGAACAAAUGGUGAGAUUAUAUGCAAUGCUUCCCAAACUCAUUACGAAGGUCCUCAUAAAGUUUUUGGAUGCUCCAAGGCGUCAGAUCCAUGAGUUUAUACACACUAAAGUGAGAAAGUCGCGUAACUCCUAAAUGUUGGCUUGUAAAUUUGAAAAUAUGUCUUAAAACGGUGGGACUAUACACAAUGUUUCCCAAACUCAUUAUGGAAGUCCUCAUAAAGUUUUUUAAGAAAACAUUUUGGGUUCUCCAAGGCGCCAGAUCCAUGGGCUAAUGUACAUGAAAAACCGAGAAGGUCGUGUAUUUCCUAAAAGUUGGCUUGUAAAUGCGAAAAUAUGUCUUAAAAUAGUGGGACUAUACACAAUGCUUCCCCAACUCAUUACGACGGUCCUCAUAAAAAAAUUAGAAUUUUUUUAGGGUGUUCCAAGACGCCAGAUCAAUGAGCUAAUACAUAUGAAAAACUGAGAAAGUCGCAUAAUUUCUAAAAGUUGACUUCUAAAUUAUAUGCCUUAAAAAUAGUGGGAAUAUACACAAUUCUUCCUCAAAUCAUAAUGGAGGUCCUCAUAAAGUUUGUUAGGAAAAAUAUUUUGGGUGCCCAAGCGUGCCAAACAGUGGCGGAUCCAAGAUUUAGAGUCUGUGGGUGCCAAAUAGACUUAUCAAUUAAAUUAAUUUUAUAUUUGAUUAAAUUAUUCGUCUUUUCGAUAUAUAUCAUAAAUCAAUCAAUAAAAUAUAAAUAAUAAGAUAUUACACUUUUAUUGAGUAUUUAAUCAAUUAAAAGAAAAGACAAAGGAGUAAUAAUGUAAUUAAGUUAAUUUAAGUCAAUAAAAAUUAUUUUAAAAAAUAAUAAUAAAUUGUGCCAGCUGUUUUUCCUUAAAAAACGUGUUUGGAGCCUCUUUUUUUUCUUAAAAAACGUCUGCAACAAAUUUCUCAAAAAAAAUAGGUACAAAUGGGAUUCGAACCCGCAACAUCAGCCUUCUAAAGUUGCCCUCCUACCGUGGCACCACAAGCCAAUUUUGUUCUGUGGGUGGACGCUUUAUAUUUAUCUAAAUAUUAUAUAUAUAUAUAUAUACCUAUGUAUAUAUAGAGUUUUCGUCGAAGUUCGGGGGUGGCGUGGCACCCCCACACCUCUUCAUAGAUCCGCCCCUGGUGCCAGAUCAACAUGCUAAUACAUAUGAAAAAUCGAGAAAGUCAUGUAAUUUCUAAAAGUUUGCUUGUAUAUGCAAAAUUAUUCCUUAAAUAUGGUGGGACUAUACGCAAUACUUCCGCAACUCGUUAUGGAAGUCUUUAUAAAGUUUUUUGAGAAAAAAGUUUUGGGUGCUACAAGACGCCAUAUACAUGGGCUACUAAUACACAAAAAAAAAAAAUCAAGCAGGUCGUGUUAUUCCUAAUAAUCGACUUGUAAAUGUAAAAAUAUGCCUUAAAAUAUGGAGGGACUAAAUGUAAUGCUUUCCCAACUCAUUACAGAGGUCCUCAUUAAGUUUUUUUAGAAUUUUUUUUUGGGUACUCCCAGACACCUGAUCCAUGGGCUAAUACACACAAAAAUCUGAGAAAGUCGACUAGCUUCUAAAAAUUAGCUUGUAAAUGUUAAAAUAUGCCUUAAAAUGGUGGGACUAUACGCAAUGCUUCCCCAACACACGAAAAAUAGAUAAAAUUGUGAAAGUCCUAAAAGUUUGUUUGUAAAUGCAAAAAUAUGUCUUAAAAAUGGUGGGACUAUACGCAAUGCUUCCCCAACACACGAAAAAUAGAUAAAAUUGUGAAAGUCCUAAAAGUUUGUUUGUAAAUGCAAAAAUAUGUCUUAAAAAUGGUGGGACUAUAUGCAUUCUUUCCUAACUCAUUACGGAGGUACUCAUAAAAUUUUCUCAUAAAUUUGUUUUUGGGUAAGGGCUAAUAUACAGGAAACCAAGAAAGUUGCGUAAUACCUAAAAGUGUGCUUGUAAAUGUGAUAAUGUGCCUUGAAAUGGUUGGACUAUACACAUUGUUUUCCCAACUCAUUACAAAGGUCCUCAUAAAGUUUUUUCAAAAAAUCAUUUUGGGUGCUCCAAGGCUCCAGAUCUAAGGGCUAAUAUACAUGCAAAUCGAGAAAGAUGGGUAAUUCCUAAUAGUGGGCUUGUAAAUGUUAUAAAAUGCCUUAAAAAUUGAGUGUCUAUAUGUAAUGUUUCCCCAACUCAUUACGGAGGUCCUCAUAAAAUUUUUAAAGAAAGAUACUAGGGUCCUCCAAGGCGCCAUUCCAGGGGCAAAUAGACACUAAAAUCGAGAAAGUGUGUAAUUUUUAUAAGUUGGCUUGUAAAUGUGAAAAUAUAUCUUAAAAAUGGUGGGACAGUACGCAAAGCUAACCCAAUUCAUUACAUAGGUCAUCUUAAAGUUUUUUCAGAAAAUUAUUUUAGGUGCUCCAAGGCACCAGACAUUGGUUAAUACACACAAAAAAAUUGAAAUUUUUUUUGCGUAAAUUCUAAAAGUUGGCUUGUAAAUGCGAAAAUAUGCCUUAAUAUGGUGGGACUAUACGCAAUCCUUCUCCAACUCAUUACGGAAGUCCUCAUAAAGUUAUUUUUGAAGAAAAAAAAUGGGUGCUCCAAGGCAUCAAAUCCAUGGGUUAAUAUAGAAGAAAAACUGAGAAAAUCACGUAAUUUCUAAAAGUUUGCUUGUAAAUGCGAAAAUAUGCCUUAAAAAUAGUAGGACUAUACGCAAUGCUUCCCCCAACUAAUUACAGAGGUACUCAUAAAGUUAUUUUUGAAUUAAUUUUUGGAAGCUGAGAAGCGUCAGAUCCAUGAGUUAAUACAUACGAAAAACUGAGAAAGUCACGUAAUUCGUAAAAGUUGGCAUGUAAAUGCAAAAAUCUGCCUUAAAAUGGAGUGACUAUACGCAAUUCUUCCCAACUAAAGACGAAGGUCCUCAUACAGUUUUUUCAGAAAAAAAAUUUGGGUUCUCCAAGGCGCCAGAUCCAUGGACUAAUAUACACAAAAAACUGAGUUAGUCUAGAAUUUCCUAAAAACAGAGUUGUAAAUGCGGAAAUAUGAUUUAAAAAUUGUGUGACUGUACGCAAUGCUUACCCACCUCAUUACAGAAGUCCUCAUAAAAUUUUCUCAGAAAAACAUUUUUGGGUGCUUCAAGGCGUCAAAUCCAUGGGCAUUAGAAAAUAAAAAAUUGAGAAAGUCACAUAACUCCUAAAAGUUGGCUUGUAAAUGCAAAAUAUGCCUUAAAACGGUGGGACUAUACAUAAUUCUUCCCCAACUUAUUACAGAGGUCCACAUAAAUAUUUUUCUGAAAAUCUUUUUAGGUGCUCCAAGGUGUUUGAUCCAUGAGUUAAUACACACGAAAAAUCGAGAACGUCGCGUAAUUCCUAAAAAUUGACUUGUAAAUGCGAAAAUGUGCCUUAAAAUUGUAGGAUUAUAAGCAAUGAUUCCUCAACUCAUUAGUCAUUACGAAGGUCUUCUUAAAGUUUUUUCAAAAAAAAAAUUUGAGUUCUUCAAGAUGCAAGAUCGAUGGGCAUUAACACAUAUAAAACUGAGAAAGUCGCGUAAUUUCUAAAAGUUGGCUUGUUAUUACAAAAAUAAGCCUUAAAAUGGCGGGACUAUACGCAAUGCUUCCCCAACUCAUUACGGAGAUCCUUAUAAAAAAAUCAAAUUCUUUUUGCGUUCUCCAAGGCACCACAUCCAGGGGCUGAUACACACAAAAAACUGAGAAAGUCACGUAAUUCCUAAAAUUUGGCUUGUAAAUAUGAAAAAAUAUCUUAAAAUGAUGAGAUAAUAUGCAACGCUUCCCCAACUCACUACGGAUGUCCACAAAAUAUUUUUCAGAAAAAAUAUUUGGUGCUCCAAGGCGCCAGAUCCAUGGGUUUAUACACACGAAAAAUUGAGAAAGUCGCAUAUUUCCUCAAAGUUGGCUUGUAAAUGCGAAAAUAUGCCUUAAAAAUGGUAAGACUAUACACAAUGUCUCCCCAACUCCCUACGGAGGUUCUCAUAAAGUUUUUUCAGAAAAAAAUAUGGGUGCUCCAAGAUGCCAGAACCAUGGGAUAAUACACACGAAAGUUCGAGAAAAUCCUGUAAUUCCUAAAAGUUGAAUUGUAAAUGUGAAAAUAUGUCUUAAAAAUGGUAAGACUACACACAAUACUUCCCAAAGUCAUUACCAAGGUCACCAUAAUUUUUUGGAAUUUUUUUUUGGGGGCUCCAAGGUGCUAGAUCCAUGGCUAAUACACACGAAAAACUGAAAAAGUUGAGUAAUUUCUAAAAGUUGGCUCGUAAAUGUGAAAAUAUGCCUUAAAAAUGGUGGUACUAUACGCAAUGCUUCCUUAACUCAUUGCGGAAGUCCCCGUAAAGUUUUUAGUUAGAAUUUUAAGGUGCUCCAAGGUGCCAGAUCCAUGGGCUAAUACACAUGAAAAAUUGAGAAAGUCGUGUAAUUUCUAAAAGGUGGCAUGUAAAUGCAAAAAUAUUACUUAAAAAUGGGGGGACAAUAUGCAAUGCUUUCUCAAUUCAUUACGGAGGUUCUCACAAAGUUUUUUCAGAAACUCUUUUUGGAUGCUCCAAAGUGCGAGAUCAAUGGGCUAAUAUACACGAAAAUCUGUGAAAGUCGUGUAAUUCCUAAUAGUUGGCUUGUCAAUGUGAACAUAUGCCUUAAAAUAGUGGGAUUAUAAGCAAUUCUUCCAUAACUCGUUAUUGAGGUCCUCAUAAAGUUUUUUCAUAAAAUUAUUUUGACUGCUCCAAGGUGCCAGAUCCAUAAGCUAAAACACAUAAAACCCGAGAAAUUCAUAUAAUUUGAAAAGUUGACUUGAAAAUGUGAAAAUAUAUCUCACAAAAAUGGUGGGACUAUACGCAAUGAUUCCCCGACUCACUACAAAGGUCCUCAUAAAUGUUUUUGAGAAAAUUAUUUUGGGUACUCCAAGGCGCCAAAUCCAUGAAAAAUACACACGAUAACCGAGAAAGUCACGUAAUUCCUAAAAAUUGUCAUACAAAUGCGAAAAUAUGCUUUAAAAAUUGUGGGACUAUAUGCAAUGUUUCACAACACAUUACAAAGGUACUCAUAAAGUUUUUUCAAAAAAUAUUUUUUGGUGCUACAAGGCAUUAGAUCCAUGGACUAAUACACAAUAAAAAAAUAAAAAAAAUCGUGUAAUUCCUAAAAGUUGGAUGGUAAUGCCAAAACAUGCCUUAAGAAUGGUGAGACCGUACCCAAUGCUUCCCUAACUCAUGACAGAGGUCCUCAUAAAGUUUCUUCAAAAAAAAAAUUGGGUGUUCCAAGGCCCCAGAUCCAUGAGCAAAUACAUAUGAAAAACCAAGAAAGUCGUGUUAUUCCUAAAAGAUUGAUUGUAAAUGCGAAAAUAUGCCUUAACAUGGUGGACAAUAAGCAAUGCUUUCCCCAAUUCAUUACAGAGGUUCGCAUAAAAAAAAUUCAGAAACUUUUUUUGGUGCUUCAAGGCUUCAGACACAUGGGCUAAUACACACGAAAAAUCAAUAAAUUUGUGUAAUUCCUAAAAGUUAGCUGGUAUAUGUGAAAAUAUGCCUUGAAAAUUGUGGGACUAUAAGCAAUGCUUCUCCAACUCAUUGCAGAUUUUUUCAUAGUUUUUUCAAAUUAUUUUUUUUUGGUGCUACAAGGCGUUAUAUCAAUGGGCUAAUUCACACUAAAAACUGAGAAAGUCACGUAAUUCUUAAAUUUUGGCUUGUAAAUGUAAAAAUACGCAUUAAAAAUGGCGGAACUAUACACAAUGUUUCCCCAAGGUCCUCAUAAAGUUUAUUCAGAAAAAACUUUUGGUUGCUCCAAGGCGCCAGAUCCAUAGGCUAAGUACUACAUGAAACCUCACCAUUUGUUUCACAUAUUUUGGACAUUUUAGGAGCCAUUUUAAAGGAAUUAGGUGAUUUUUCUAGUUUUUUGUAUGUCUUAGUCCAUGAAUUUUUUGUGGAUAUGGCUUCUGAAUGACUUCUUUACAAAACAUUUACGGAACUCCCAUAUGGAGUUGGGAUAGUGGUACGUGAAGUCUCACAAUUUUUUGUACAUAUUACGGGUAUUUAGGAUCAAAUUUUUUUAUCGAAAUUAGAAGAUUUUCUUUGUUUUCGUAUGUGUUAGCCCAUGAAUAUUUUGGUGAUAUGAAUUUCAAUUUUUUUGCAAAACCUUGAUGAAACCCUCCGUAGGGAGUUAGGGGGGGAGGGUCGUACUUGAAGCCUCAUCUUUUUCGCACAUAUUUUGGGCAUUUAGGAUCCAUUUUACAAGAAUAACGCAAUUUUCUUAGUUCGUGUGUUAGCCUAUUAUUAUUUUCUGAUAUGACUUUCGGAUGAUUUUCUACAAACCUCUACGGAACCCUCUGUAGGGAGUCUAGGGAGCGGCACAUCAAGUCUCACCAUUUUUUUGCACAUAUUUUGGGCAUUUAGGUGCCAUUUUAUAGGAAUUAGGCGAUUUUUUCAGUUUUUCAUGUGUGUUAGCAUGUGAAUAUUUUGGUGAUCAUAUUUCCAGUCAAUUUUAUUUUUUUGCAAAACCUUUACGGAACAUUCUUUUGGUAUUUGUGGGAGCAACACAUGAAACCUCACUAUUUUGUGCACAUAUAUUGGGCAUUUAUGAGCCAUUUUACAUAAAUUAGGUGGUUUUCUUGGUUUUUUUUUGUAUGUAUUAGCCAAUGAAUAUUUUGGUGAUACAACUUUCGAAUGAUUUUCUUGCAAAAACUUGCAGGAACACUGCGUAGGGAGUUGGGGGAGCAAUACGUGAAGCCUCACCAUUUUGUGUAUAUAUUUUGGGAAUUUAGGAGUACUAAUUAGGUUAUUUUUCUCAAUUUUUUUGUAUGUGUUAGCCAAUAAAUAUUUUAGUCAUAUGACUUUUAGACAAUUUUCUUGAAAACCCCUUACGGAACCCUCCGUAGAGAAUUGAGAGAGCAUUACGUGAAGCCUUAUUUCUUUUGCACAUAUUUUGGGCAUUGAGUAGCUAUUUUAUAGAAAUAGGUGAUGUGUGUUAACCCAUGAAUAAUAUGGUGAUAUGGAUUUCAGAUCAUUUUUUUGUAAAACCUUUACGAAAUCCUCUAAAGAGAGUUGGGAGAGCAAUACAUGAAGCUUUACUAUUAUUUGCACAUAUUUAGGACAUUUAGGACUCAUUUUAAAGGGACUAGGUGAUUUUUUUUCCAGUUAUUCGUGUAGGUUAGCCUAUUGAAUAAUUUGGUGAUAUGGGUUUCGAAUGAAUUUUAUUUUAAACAUUUAUGGAACCCUCUGUAGGGAGUUAAGGGAGCAGUAAGUCAAGCCUCAACAUUUUUUACAUAUAUUUGGGCAUUUAUGAACAUUUUUUAGGAAUUAGGUAAUUUUAUCAGUUUUUUUUGUGUUUGUUAGCCCAUGAAUAUUUUGGGUGCAUGACUUUUGGACGAUUUUUCUAUAAAACUAGGGAGUUCGGGGAGCAGUACCUGAAGCCUCACCAUUUUUUCACAUAUUUUGGGCAUUUAGGAGCCAUUUUACAGGAAUUAUGCGAUUUUUCUAUGUUUUUCGUGUGAGUUAACUCAUGAAUAUUUUGGUGAUAUGGCUUCUAGACAAUAUUUUUGCAAAACCUUUACAGAACCCUUCGUAGAGAGUUGUGGGAGCAGUAAUGAAGCCUCACCAUUUUUGCACAUAUUUUUGACAUUUAGGAGCUAUUUUGCAGGAAUGAUACAAUUUUUCUCAAUUUUUCAUGUUUGUUAGCUCAUGAAUAUUUUGGUUAUAUGGUUUUCAGAUGAUUUUUCUGCAAAACCUUUACAAUACCCCUAUAGGGAGUUAGAGGAGAAGUACGUGAAGCCUCACCUUUUUAUCCAUAUAUUUUGGGCAUUUAGCAGCAAUUUUACACAGCUUAGGUAAUUUUUUCAAUUUUUCGUGUGUAUUAGCUCAUGAAUAUUUUGGUGAUAUGGUUUCUAGACAAUUUUCUAGCAAAACCUUUACGGAAACCUUUGUAGAGAGUGAAACCUUAUUUUUUUCACACAUAUUUUUGGCAUUGAGGAGUCAUUUUACAGUAAUUAGGCAAUUUUCUAAGUUAUUUUUAGGCGGAACCCACCGACAGCCCCUUAAAGUUGACACCAAUUUUUACUUAGACACCUCAAGUAGGCUUUGUUCAUUUUAAACGCCUAAAGUAGGGCCCCGGUGUGUCAUUUUGACCUUUUUAACAAUCAGCUAAAAUUAUAAAGUGUGUAAUACACUUGUGAAUGACAUGACAUGAUGACUAAUUAGAGGUUGACAUGUGGCAUUUUAGUAUAAAAAUAAUAAUUUUAAAAUAAAUUAUAACAAAAAACUAUUUUUCCAUAAAAUAAAUAAAUAAAAUUACCUAUUUUGUACCACUGCCAUCCCCACCUUACAACACCCCGCCCACACUCCAUCAGCCUUACUUCAGCCAUUUUUGCCUCCCCAACCCUCCCACCAUUUUUUGGUUAUUAUUCCCUUUUUAAAAAAAAAAAUCAUUAGAUUUUAAUCUUUCUUUUUUCGUCGUAAAUUUGAUUUUGAGAACCAUUUUAUCGAUAGUGAGGUGAGGUUCUGACAAAUAUGACAUUCUUCUUAUAUUAUUCUUUUUUGAAAAAAAAUGUGUGUUCUGUUCGAAUAAAUGUUUUCAAAAUUAGUGUGAUGAUUUUUUAAAAUUUUGUUCAUGUAAAUAUUUUUAAAAUUAGUGUGAUAAUUUUUUUAUUUUAUUUUUUCAUAUUUUGUAAGGUUUUUCAUCAUGAUUUUUCAUGGUGGAAGGUGGAAUAAGUGGUAGGGAUAAAGAGUGAAGAAGAGAAGGAAAAAGUAUUUAAAAAAUAAAAAAAAGCACUCCUCACACGCUCAAAAUGGGUGCAGCACACCCAAUGUGUCAAAUCAGUAGAAAGUGUCAAAAUGACACAGCGGGACUCAACAUGAGGUGUCUAAAAUGAACAAAUUUUAGUUAACGUGUCUAAGUAAAAAUUGAUGCCAACUUUGGAGGGCCACCGAUGGGUUCAACCUUUUUUUUAUAUAUGUUAACCCAUUAAUAAAUUGGUGAUAUGGCUUUCAGAUAGUUUUUUUUUUUUUUGCAAAACCUUUACAGAACCUUCUAUUGGGAGUUGGAGAAGUAGUAUGUGAAGCCUUACCACUUUUUGCACAUACUUUGGGCAUUUAGGAGCUAUUUUGAAGGAAUUGAGUGAUUUUUCUUAGGAGCUAUUGAAUAUUUUGGUAAUAUGACUUUUGAAUGUUUUUUUUGUAAAACCUUUACGGAACCUUCCAUAGGGAGUUGGGGGGAAGCAGUAUGUGAAGCCUCAUCAUUUUUUGCACAUAUUUUGGGCAUUUAGGAGCCUUUUUUUUUUAUAGGAAUUAGACGAUUUUCUCAGUUUUUCGUGUGUGGUAACCCAUGAAUAUUUUGGUGAUAUGAUUUUCAGACUUUUUUUUUUUUUUGCAAAACCUUUACAAAACCCUUUGUAGGGAGUUAAGGGAAUAGGUUUUUAACCCUUACCAUUUUAUGAGCCAUUUUAUAGGUGGAAUUAGAUGAUUUUUCUCAGUUUUUCAUGUGUUAGCCCAUGAGUAUUUUGGUGAUUGUUCACAUCCAUUAAGGUGCAACGUCGUGGUGACUCAAAAAAUAAAUAAUUAAUUCAAUUUCAAAGAAUAAAAGAAUUUUAAAAGAAAAGAAAAAUUUUAAGGGAGUCGGCACCUAAUUUUAGGAAAAACUAGGAAACCAAUUAAUUAAUUAAUAUAAAAUAGAAUGUCUACAAAACUAAUAGAUUCUAGACCUAUUCAAGUGAUUCCGAAGGGAAAGUAUUAGGCCUCCUUCAAAAUCUACAACUGUAGAUCCCGAUUGAAUUCAUUUUUUUCAAAUUGAAGAGGAGAUAAAAACAUUGUACAAAUAUAAUAAAUAUGUAAUAUACAGUAAAAUAAUAAUAUAAAAAACCGCCUAACUUUGUGUGACGUCAAUAAUAUACACAAUAAUGAAUCAAAAAAUAUUGUUCGAAUAGCAUCAAUGGGAAGCAACUUUGGGUACCUAUAAAGAUACUUAGUAAUAAUAUUAAUAAGAAUAAAUAUUAACCAAAAUAAAUGAAACUACUAACUCAAAAAAACAACCCAUCUUAUUAGCAUGGAAAACCUUGAAAACCAAUGAUAAUUUCUUUAUCGACCAAUUUUAAGAUAUAGAAGAAUAUGAAUUUAAACUAAAUUUCUGUUUUUUAAAAUAGGAAGACCUCGAAAACCGACGGAGAGAUAUUUUUCAUUAGCCAAUCUAACGUACCCACUUGUUAUCAGUUAAACACAUCCAAAAGAAAUAAGAAAAAAUGACUCGUAUACUACCAAAACAGUUAACAAAAUAUAUUAGCAACAUAACAAUACAUACAUUAAAUAAGAAUCAUCACAAAAAUGUAGAUAAGAUAAGAAUCUAUCCAAAAACAUGUUAAAAGGCACUCAUAACAGGCUGAAACAAAAAAGAAAUUACCAGAAAACAUUAACAAUUACUGGGUGACACAAAAAUAAAAAUAAAACUGGUCGGAGUUUGAGCUCCUCCGGCCAAAGUUGAAACGAACAAAGUGAAUCACCUGAAAUGCAACAAAUAACAGAGUAACAUAGAAGAGCAAAAACAACGUAAAACAACAUUCUAUUUUAGUUAGAUUAUUGUUGGAGUGUGGAGUCUUGUUUGAUAUUGGUACGAAUGUCUUGUAUGAUGAGAUUACUUUGAACAUCGUGCUUGAUGACAUCUAGAAUUUUCCCUGUUGAUUCGGUUGAUUGAGUGAUGCAAGCCCUUGAAAUGAUCUUAGGCAAGAAUUUUGAAAAGUGAACCAACUUGACAAUAUACCUCUUUUGUGGUCAACAUUGUGAGGUAUGUGAACCUAGCUUGGCACCUUUUGAGUUUUACCUCUUUCCUUGGAAGAAACUUGAACAAUUGUGACCUCUCUUUAUCCAGACCCAUAACUUUCAUGAAGUAUGGUUUGUUUGAAUAGCCAACUUAGGCCAAAAGCCUAAGUUGGGAGUGUGGUGAAAGAGAAGGGAAGUCAAGAGUGUAAAAAUUUCCCCUAGAUUUUGGAUUGUUGUGAAAAAGAUGAAACCCCUCCAUGUCAAGAGUGUGAAAAAUCCCCCCUAGAUUUCGUAACAUAGAAGUAAAAGCUUAAACCUCAUCGGAAAUGGAGCUUUUGGUGUUGUUUGUAGGUUAUUGUUGGUCACUCUGAUGGUUGAUUGGCGGAGAAGUGGGUUGAGCGGUGGUUCUCACUGGAGAAAGGAGAAAAACGAAUGUGGGGUUCGGGUGGCUUUUUGCUGGAGUUGUUGUUCGUUGUUGUUCCACCGCCGUUUGAGGUCGUUGGUAGGUCGGACUAAUCAGAAAUACAAAUGAACAGUAAAAUUCAUUAGUAAAACAUGUAUUUUGAAUUAUUUAAGGAAUAAAAUAUUUAAAAGUAUUAACUUUGAAAAAUAUCAGAUCAAAAUUUGGUGUAAACAAUAAUAUGGCUUCAGGAUGUAUUCAAAAAAUGGGAAAUUAUUAAUAAAUUGAUUAAAAUUGUAAAACAUAUAUUUUGAACUAUUAAGGAACAAAAUAUUUAAGAGUAUUAACUUUAAAAAAUAUCAGACCAAAAUUUGGUGUCAACAGUAAUAUGGCUUCCAGAUGAUUUUUUUUUUGCAAAACCUUUACAGAACCCUUUGUAGGAAGUUAGGGGAGAAGUACGUGAAGUCUCAACAUAUUUAGAGGAUUAUGCGAUUUUCUCAACUCUUCAUGUAAGGUAACCUAUGAAUAUUUUGGUGAUACGACUUCUCGAUAAUUUUUAAUAAAACCUUAUGGAACCCUCUGUAGGGAGUUGGGGAGGGAGCAGUACAUGAACCUCACCAUUUUUUGUUCAUAUAGCAUUUAGGAGUCAUUUAAAAGAAAUUGAGCAAUUUUUUCAAUCUUUUCGUAUGUAAGCCCAUUGAAUAUUUUGGUGAUAUGACUUCCGGACAAUAUUAUUGCAAAAUCUUUACGAAACCCUCCAUAGGAUAAGUAAGUGUAGCCUCACCAUUUUUUGAACAUAUUUUGGUAAUAUGACUUUCGGAUGAUGUUUUUGCAAAACCUUUACUUCUUCAUAGGUUGGGUGAGCAGUGCGUAAAGUCUCACUGUUAUUUGGACUUGUUUACUUAAUCAGGCGAUUUUCUCAAUUUUUCGUGUGUUGACCCAUGAAUAUUUUGAUGAUAUGGUAAUACCUUUAUCAUAAUUUCGGAGAGCAAUAUGUUCAGCCUCUAAAUUUUUCACACACAUUUUGGGCAUUUAGGAGCCAUUUUAUUUAUGCAAUUUUCUCAAUUUUCGUGCGUUAUAAUGAAUAUUUUAAUGAUAUAACUUACAAACAAUUUUUGCAAAACUUGUAUGGGAACCCUUCGUAAGGGAGACUCUGUAGCCUCACAAUUUUUUGCACAUAUUUGCGACAUUUAAGAGCUAUUUCUUAGACAUUUUCUUAUAAUUUUUUACGAGAAGCAAUCAAUUCGUGAAGCAUCACCAUUUUUUGCUCAUAUUUUGGACAUAUAGAAGUCAUUUUACAGAAAUCAGGCGAUUAUUUUCUUAGUUUUUUGUUUGUGAUUUUUUUGCAAAAUCUCUUCAUAGGCCUCGCCCCGACGCUCACCCGCCCGGAGGCAUAAGGCCCUCCAAUGAGGAAUCACCCCGGAGGUGUCCUUUACACCUGCUGAAGUGCUCCGACCCGCCCUCCCACCAGCUUAUUGAGGCACCCAUGCCCGGAGAGCCCANNNNNNNNNNNNNNNNNNNNNNNNNNNNNNNNNNNNNNNNNNNNNNNNNNNNNNNNNNNNNNNNNNNNNNNNNNNNNNNNNNNNNNNNNNNNNNNNNNNNNNNNNNNNNNNNNNNNNNNNNNNNNNNNNNNNNNNNNNNNNNNNNNNNNNNNNNNNNNNNNNNNNNNNNNNNNNNNNNNNNNNNNNNNNNNNNNNNNNNNNNNNNNNNNNNNNNNNNNNNNNNNNNNNNNNNNNNNNNNNNNNNNNNNNNNNNNNNNNNNNNNNNNNNNNNNNNNNNNNNNNNNNNNNNNNNNNNNNNNNNNNNNNNNNNNNNNNNNNNNNNNNNNNNNNNNNNNNNNNNNNNNNNNNNNNNNNNNNNNNNNNNNNNNNNNNNNNNNNNNNNNNNNNNNNNNNNNNNNNNNNNNNNNNNNNNNNNNNNNNNNNNNNNNNNNNNNNNNNNNNNNNNNNNNNNNNNNNNNNNNNNNNNNNNNNNNNNNNNNNNNNNNNNNNNNNNNNNNNNNNNNNNNNNNNNNNNNNNNNNNNNNNNNNNNNNNNNNNNNNNNNNNNNNNNNNNNNNNNNNNNNNNNNNNNNNNNNNNNNNNNNNNNNNNNNNNNNNNNNNNNNNNNNNNNNNNNNNNNNNNNNNNNNNNNNNNNNNNNNNNNNNNNNNNNNNNNNNNNNNNNNNNNNNNNNNNNNNNNNNNNNNNNNNNNNNNNNNNNNNNNNNNNNNNNNNNNNNCGCCCACCCCCGACCUCGAGGCAGCGUGCCCCAAAGCCCCCACCCCUGCCUCGCUCCUCCGCCUUGCGUCAUGCCCACCUGAAAUAUUUUUAAUAUAAAAUAAUUUGAGAAAAAUACUUUUAAGAAGUCAACUUAAUGUUUUUCAAAAAUAUUAUGAAAAUUUUUAUUCAACAAAGAUAUUAAGAACUUUGACACUUAAUUUUUAAUUUCAAUCAAAUGUUUUUCACGCAACUAAUUAAUAUUAUUAAAUUAUUGAUUGAAAAUAUUGAUCAACUAUAAAAAAGUUAUUUUAAAGUAAAUAAAAAUGUCUGUGUCCCUUGAGAAAAAAUUGAAAAUAAGAUAAACUUAGCCAUAUUGAUUAGUUAAGUGGAAAAGCAUUUGAUUGAAAUUAUUAGGUGAGUAAAUUAACGUAAAAAAUGGUAUCUUUAGGAGAAUUUAAUUAAAUUCAAGUUAAAGUUAGAUUAUGCAAAUAAUUACUAUUAAAACAAUAAAUACAAAAAAAGUAAAUAACUUUUUUUGGGCUGUACCUAAGGGUUUGGGCCAGCUGUAUUAAGGUUUUGGGUCUAAUGCUGCACUUUGGGCUUUGGCCCAUGUCACUGUAUAGCUGUGUAUAUACUAGUGUAUAUCAUCUACUUCCCCUGUAUAUUGGACAUAUACAGCCCAUUUUACACCUGUAUCUUAUGUCGUCUAUAUAUCAACUCCAUUUCUUGCAUACUUGCUUCCCUUUCACUCGAACAAGAUGAGGUUGACUCGAUGAAUAUCAGUUGGGUUUCAACCAACUCGAAAUUCAAAGAUGACUAGAUGACUCCCAAUGCAGGUGUCACAUACAAAGAGAAUAAAAUCACAUCAGGAAUGUGAUUUUAAAACUAAAGCAUAUUGUGUAAACUAUGUGCCAAAAGUAUCAUACUAAUUCAAAGCAAUCUAAACAGCGAGAUGUUAACUUCAUUCAACAAUAUUAAGAUGUAUAAUCAAAUUUUCAUUGUUUCUCAAGACCUAACAAUCAAUAGGAAUAUCAUGGUGAAAUAUUCAUACUAAUAUUUUUGAAGGGGCGUGUAAAGUUCAAAGUGGAGACAUCUGAAUAAAUUAUAAGAAAACAAUAACAGUAACUACUAUCACAGGAAUCGGUCCCAGACGCGCCCCAUUGAUAGGCAUUACACCAUGUAAACUGGUGGCACAAAUAGCAAACCAAUGGAUUCAUUGAAGUGAAGAAAUCAAGAAAACGGAGAAGAAGCAGUAGAAUCAAUAUUGCUUGGGCGACUAGGAAUUGAAGAAGUGUUACAAGGGUAAAAUAAAAUUCUGGGAUUGGUAUCUGAAAAUUGCAGUUGUUUCGGCCAUGAUUGGAGGUUCCAUGGAGUUUCUCAUGAUUAAGACUGGAUUUUAUGAUAAAGUGACUGUUCUAGAAGCGGAAAAGAGAGCCUGGGAGAAUUCUCCUGAAGCCAAGGCUGUCAGAGACGCUCUUAAUCUAUGGAGACAUCAGGAUGCAGAAACAUGAAAGGAUUCUUAGCUCUGUCACUUCAGUUAGAGAAUUAUAAGGCAACUCAGGGAUUGGCUUUGAAGGAAAAUUGACCUGACGUAGUGCUUUUUUGGGCUUGCUCCUAUUGAUAUUUCUCAUCGAAUGUUUAUUGAAGAGCGUGUUGCAACUUACAACUGAUUGUUUCAUCAACUUGGUGGUCACUUCCUUGCUCUUUCAAGAUUAGUACUUUGCUUUCCUGGAUCUGCAUGGUUAAGAGAAACAAUCAGUUGCACCUCUGGGAAAAAUAGUGGACUAGAUAGCCAUUUGAGAGAAAAAAAACUACUAUCACAGAGAGGAAAUGUUGGCAUUGAUAGCCUCUUUGGUUAUUACAAGAAUACAUGCUCAGAUAGGAAUUGGUACAAAUCCAGAAUGAAGAAAAGAUAAAUGGAAAAGGAAAAUUGAAGCCAACAGAAAAUAACAAUCAAUAAAUACCUGAAAAUUGCUUUGAGAAGAACAAAGAUGAGGUAUUUCUUGAAAAACUUAUUUGAAAAGAUAGAGAAUGAAGACAUAGACAGAGAUGAGCAAACAAAGAUGACUAAAUUAAUCAAUAUCCGAAAAAGGUCUAGCACAGACAAGAUUUAAUCAAUCACAAAUAGAGGACGAAUCAGUAGAUAAAAUGAUUAUAAAUAGAAACACUAAGAUGAAGAAAAUGAAUGCAACAUUGAUAUGAUACAGACAAAAUGAAUGCAACAUUGAUAUGAUACAGAGGUGAAUAACAAGAAUAACUCAAACACAUAGCAAUCAUUUAAGCAUAUCCACUACUCCAAUAUUUAGUAAAAUCCGAAAUAUAUGGCAACCAAAGUCUCCCUAACAGAUUGGUCAAAAGGAAAUUGAUAAAGUAAAAUAGUCGGGGUAAUGAAAUGGUAGUAAUGCUAGAGGUUUUCUUUUAGCUAGAUGGGAGGAGCGGAGAAAGGGAGGAUGGCAUUAAAGGUCGAAAGAAAACUUGCCCGAGAAUAUUUCAAGGAGCUAAGUGUACAUUACCAUCAUAUUCCUUGCGUAACAGGACCUCAGGAAUGUAAGCAGGUGUUCCUACAGCUGACUUGGGUUGUGAAUGCAAUAAUCCUGACUGCAUUAUGAAGAAAAUAGUAAAUAAAAAAUGUAAUAUCCUACUACAUAGAUGUAGAUAACUUUCCAAUUAGAACGCAAGAAACCUUAGAAUAACCGAAAUCAAUAUUUUAUGACGUGAUGUUGGGCUUCCAUCAAGUUCAAAGUGGACAAGUAAAGUGAACGGAGAGAAUAAAAGAGUAAGUUGGACUAAUUGUUAAGAUGAAUGCAACAUUGGUAUGAGACAGAGGUGAAAUAAACAAGAAUAAUUCAAACACACAGCAAUCAAUUACCAACAGAGAGCUUUUGUGGAGCUUGAAUCUCUACUAUGCACCUAACAUUAAUCUAUACUAACACUAAAUCUUAAAGAAAUGGCAGCAAAGGAGCAAUAUGUUUGAAGCAAGAAUCCUAGUAGCAAGAACAUACUUCUAUCUGUUAAGGAUUCUCAAGCCAAAGAUUUCAUUGAUAAACAAAAGACUCAAUCUAUUAUAUGUUAAAUGAGGGACUCAAACAGUGAUUAAAACACUCAAACGAAGUAAGACAGAUCAGCAUAUUGCGAUGAAGAUCCACAAACGAGUAAACCAAAAUACAUAGCAGAUUCAUAUGAUACUUAGACAAACAGUGAACUAAGACUGGAAAUCAAAGCAAAGAAACAACAAGACAUUGAGCAUCUAGAAAGAAAAUUCAAAAGAUGAUCCUAAUUCAUACUACAUUAAGCAACAUAUAGAGAUAGUAAUAUUUCUUAAACUGCUAUUAAAAAUAAAUAACAGCUAUUUGCCAAACUUAAACCAGAAACAGAUGUACCGCUAUUUAACUAAACAGAGAAUUAACUGGAAAAAGAUGAAGCAUUAAAGGAGAAAAAGGUUACCUUUUUCUGGGCAGCAAUUGGGACGAGACGAAGUUUCCACCACUGAAAUGGUGGCUGGACUCCCACGAACAAAGAAGCUUGAUACAGCCGAAGAAGAAAACGCUUCCAUUAGCUAUAUGAAAACCCCUCUGUUUUAGAUGAUUAAGAUUUUGUGUUUUUUUAUGGUCAAAUCCGUGAAGGAAGGGGGUUUACAGGGAGAAAAUUGGUGGAUUUUGUGGGGGAAACCUGCAGAAACUUAGAAAAGGGAGGUGUUCAAAUGUCUGUCAAUCUAUAUAAACACAUAGCAAUCAUAUGCACUUAAAAUUAAUCUAUACAAACACAUAUCAAUCAUAUGCACUCAAUGUUAAUCUAUACUAACACUAAAACUUAAAGAAAUGGAAGCGAAGGAGCAACAUGUUUGAAGCAAAAAUCAUAGUAGCAAGAACAUAGUUUAUCUGUAAAGGAUUCUGAAGCCAAAGAUUCCAUCGAUAAACAAAAGAUUCAAUCCAUUAUUUGCUUAAACGACUCAAAGAAAGACAGAUCAGCCUAUGCAAUGAAGAUCGACAAACGAGUAAACCAAAAUACAUAGCAGAUUCAUGAUAUACUUAGACAAACAGUGAACUAAGACUGCAAAUCAAAACACUGAUAUAAUAAUGGGAAAAUAAACAACAAAGACAUUAAGCAUCUGGAAAGAAAAUUCAAAAGAUGAUCCUAAUUCAUACCACAUUAAACAGUAGAGACAGUAAUAUUUCUUAAACUCACUACUAAAAAUAAACAACAACUAUUUGCCAAACUUAAACAAGAAACAGAGAAUUAAUUGGAAAAAAAAAUGAAGCAAGAAAGGAGAAAAGGGUUACCUUUUUCAAGACAGCAACGAAGAUCUCACCACUGAAACGGUCGCUGGACUCUGACGAACAAAGAAGCCUGAUGCAGCAGAAGAAGAAAACGUUUUCCUAUAAAAAAUCCUAAAAUCUGAGCUGCUAUAUUAGCUAUCUGAAAACCCUCGCUCUGUUUUAGAUGAUGAAGAAUUUAUGUGUUCAAAAAAGGGGAUUUGUAGGGAGAAAAUGGGUGGAUGUUGGGGGGAAAACAACGGUCGGAAAUUUUUGUAAGAGACGAGUUCAAAUUUUGAAAAUUCCUUGGAGGAUAAGGAUCCUAACAAAUUUGAGUCGAAAACUGAAAGAAGGACGUUGGGAUUCCUUCUUGAAGGUGUGAUCAUUUAGGCUGGCUACUCUAUUUAUUACUAUGAAUGAAAUAAACAAUGAUAUAUACAUUUUAAAAAAUUAAAUAUAAGGUAAAAAGAAUAAGAAACUUACCUAAAUACUUUACUAUAUUCUAUAAAAUUUGUAUGUAUAAGCCCAUGAACUUUUUAGUGAUAUGACUUUCGUACGAUGUACUAUAAGUGAAGUCUUACAUUGAGUGUUGUAUUGUACUUGAGUGAUGUAUUGGAAAUUGGGACGCGAUGUAUCAGGACAUUGAGUGAUGUAUUCGAAAUUGGGACUCGAUAUAUCCCAACGUUGAGUGAUGUAUUCGAAAUCCUUAAAUUUUAAGGAACUUUUGUAAUUUGGAAAAGAGUAGGGAUAAUGGAUAUCGCCGCUCUGUUGUGAGCGAGAUAUAUAGAAAAUAGACGGUCGCAAAAUCUAAAGAUAUUUCACUUCGAGUUGGGUGAUUUGUCCAUUUAAGUUAAUUACCAAAACAAGUGACCUUUUUGUAUUUUAGAGGGAAAAAAAGUAGCCCUUUUGACUUCGAAUUCAAAGUAAAUAUCUUCCAUAUAUAAAAAUAUUAACCCGUUUAAAGGGUUCCUUUCCUUGACGAAUUGGUAUGGUUGCUUUAAAACUUCACCAUUAAAAGGACAUGUAUUCUAAAAUAGUUAGUAGCCGUAUUGAUUAACUUAUUUUUAGAUAUUUUUUACUUUUAAGCACUUUAUUAGUUUUGAAGGUAUUUAGAUUUAAAAGUCAAACACUUUCAUAACCAGAAAAAUGUUUAAAAGUCAAAAUCAUUUAAAAAUAAAUUAAUUCAGUCGGGCACAUAAAUAGAUAUGAUAAUAUGAUCGGUAUCAAAAGACUUGCUUUCGACCUUUUACACCCCCUAGAAUUUACGACCCAAAUUUUCUUGAGGUCUUCAAAGUUCAACCUACAGUAUUCACCACAUACAAACUUCUGGCUCUUUUGAUUUAUUGGCUUUAGAAAAAGGUGCUCGGUAGGCUCUGGACUCCUUUGGUGCGACGAAAGCGAAAAGAUGGCCUGGCCAGACUGCUCAGAUUUGACGUUUGGUGUGUGUAUUUAUUUCAGUUCCAUCAAAUUGGUUGCAUUACUUGUAAAGAUCAGUUCAUCAAUAGAGUGCUUAAAACCUUUUUUGGCCGGCUGACUAAAUAUUGUUUGGUGAUGAGACUAACAAAGAUAUUUAACGUGUUUAAUAUUUCGUGAAAUUAUUUUAUUUGGUCAUUAAUAUAUUAUUAUGCCAGCUGUCUUAUGUCUAUACGGCUAUACCAAACUUGUAGACUUCUCUUUUAGUGCUAAGCCAUGAAAUUCUCCAGAAACAUCAAGUGUAAGCGUAAGAAUUAGACGUAAUAUGGAGACUGCGACUGAACUGCAACAUUAGAUGCAUUGGUUUAGACAAGAUAAAGGGGCCUCUUUCCAGCUAAAUCAAGCAUGCAUUACCUCAGUAAAGAACACCUCUAUAGACUAUAAGACACAGGAAGUGAAAUGUGCUUUGUUCAUUAUUUCAUACAACAGUAUAGAAAUUUAGACUAUAUCUUGAGACAAGAUGCUAUGUAUUUCAGAUCUCCACAAAGCAGUUCCCUGUGGUUCUCACUUCUCAACUUGUCACUUGAACUAAAUUGUCCCAAUUAGUCUUUCUUGUCGACAUCAGCCUCAGAUUUGACCGCAGAUUCAGUAGCCACAGUCUCUGAAGGGGCAUCAGCACAAGCCUUGGAACCUUUUGAUGGACCAUCAUCUUCCAAUGGCUUGGCACUCCCUGAAGCAUCACCCUCGGCUGGCUUAGCUUCACCAUCAGUUGCUUCAACAGAUCCGUCAUUAGCUUCCCCAUCAUUUACUGGCGGCACUGCCUGCUUCACAGUCCCAACUUUGACGUAUUUGCUCAUGAAUUUGUACUCCCAAUCUUGUCAAGGCAUCAAGCUCAAAUGCACCUAAGGCCAGAAAUAUCCCCUGUGAGAUCUUUUUCCUCAAAGGACAGCUUGGCAAGAGCUCUACUAGCAUCCUUUCCAGCAAACAAUGCAUAAGGUCCCCCAGGUCCAUAGAACAUUCUGCAGGAACACACACAUUUAAACACCAAGAUGACAAGUCCUCAGCAUUUCAUAAAGCUUAAUGGUUGAUUAUGAUAUGUUAGGUUUACAUUUGAGUAAGGAACUUAUUCAGACUCGUAUCAAGAUAUUUG